UAACGCGUGGGUAACCUGCCUCAUACAGGGGGAUAGCAGCUGGAAACGGCUGAUAAAACCGCAUAAGCGCACAGCAUCGCACGAUGCAGUGUGAAAAACUCCGGUGGUAUGAGAUGGACCCGCGUCUGAUUAGCUGGUUGGUGAGGUAACGGCCCACCAAGGCGACGAUCAGUAGCCGGCCUGAGAGGGUGACCGGCCACAUUGGGACUGAGACACGGCCCAA
rnacentral:rRNA from 1 species